rnacentral:hammerhead_ribozyme from 1 species
AUCCAGCUGACGAGUUCCAAAUAAACAAAACGCGCGUCCUGGAU